AAAUUGAAGAGUUUGAUCAUGGCUCAGAUUGAACGCUGGCGGCAGGCCUAACACAUGCAAGUCGAGCGGUAGCACAGAGAGCUUGCUCUCGGGUGACGAGCGGCGGACGGGUGAGUAAUGUCUGGGAAACUGCCUGAUGGAGGGGGAUAACUACUGGAAACGGUAGCUAAUACCGCAUAACGUCGCAAGACCAAAGUGGGGGACCUUCGGGCCUCAUGCCAUCAGAUGUGCCCAGAUGGGAUUAGCUAGUAGGUGGGGUAACGGCUCACCUAGGCGACGAUCCCUAGCUGGUCUGAGAGGAUGACCAGCCACACUGGAACUGAGACACGGUCCAGACUCCUACGGGAGGCAGCAGUGGGGAAUAUUGCACAAUGGGCGCAAGCCUGAUGCAGCCAUGCCGCGUGUGUGAAGAAGGCCUUCGGGUUGUAAAGCACUUUCAGCGGGGAGGAAGGCGAUAAGGUUAAUAACCUUGUCGAUUGACGUUACCCGCAGAAGAAGCACCGGCUAACUCCGUGCCAGCAGCCGCGGUAAUACGGAGGGUGCAAGCGUUAAUCGGAAUUACUGGGCGUAAAGCGCACGCAGGCGGUCUGUCAAGUCGGAUGUGAAAUCCCCGGGCUCAACCUGGGAACUGCAUUCGAAACUGGCAGGCUAGAGUCUUGUAGAGGGGGGUAGAAUUCCAGGUGUAGCGGUGAAAUGCGUAGAGAUCUGGAGGAAUACCGGUGGCGAAGGCGGCCCCCUGGACAAAGACUGACGCUCAGGUGCGAAAGCGUGGGGAGCAAACAGGAUUAGAUACCCUGGUAGUCCACGCCGUAAACGAUGUCGAUUUGGAGGUUGUGCCCUUGAGGCGUGGCUUCCGGAGCUAACGCGUUAAAUCGACCGCCUGGGGAGUACGGCCGCAAGGUUAAAACUCAAAUGAAUUGACGGGGGCCCGCACAAGCGGUGGAGCAUGUGGUUUAAUUCGAUGCAACGCGAAGAACCUUACCUGGUCUUGACAUCCACAGAACUUUCCAGAGAUGGAUUGGUGCCUUCGGGAACUGUGAGACAGGUGCUGCAUGGCUGUCGUCAGCUCGUGUUGUGAAAUGUUGGGUUAAGUCCCGCAACGAGCGCAACCCUUAUCCUUUGUUGCCAGCGGUUAGGCCGGGAACUCAAAGGAGACUGCCAGUGAUAAACUGGAGGAAGGUGGGGAUGACGUCAAGUCAUCAUGGCCCUUACGACCAGGGCUACACACGUGCUACAAUGGCAUAUACAAAGAGAAGCGACCUCGCGAGAGCAAGCGGACCUCAUAAAGUAUGUCGUAGUCCGGAUUGGAGUCUGCAACUCGACUCCAUGAAGUCGGAAUCGCUAGUAAUCGUAGAUCAGAAUGCUACGGUGAAUACGUUCCCGGGCCUUGUACACACCGCCCGUCACACCAUGGGAGUGGGUUGCAAAAGAAGUAGGUAGCUUAACCUUCGGGAGGGCGCUUACCACUUUGUGAUUCAUGACUGGGGUGAAGUCGUAACAAGGUAACCGUAGGGGAACCUGCGGUUGGAUCACCUCCUUACCUUAAAGAA
rnacentral:rRNA from 3 species